CCUACGGGAGGCAGCAGUGGGGAAUAUUGGGCAAUGGGCGCAAGCCUGACCCAGCAACGCCGCGUGAAGGAAGAAGGCCCUCGGGUUGUAAACUUCUUUUGUCAGGGACGAAGAAAGUGACGGUCCCUUACGCAUAAGCCACGGCUAACUACGUGCCAGCAGCCGCGGUAAUACGUAGGUGGCAAGCGUUAUCCGGAUUUACUGGGUGUAAAGGGCGUGUAGGCGGGACUGCAAGUCAGAUGUGAAAUUCCAGGGCUCAACCCUGGAACUGCAUUUGAAACUGUAGUUCUUGAGUGAGGGAGAGGCAGGCGGAAUUCCGUGUGUAGCGGUGAAAUGCGUAGAUAUACGGAGGAACACCAGUGGCGAAGGCGGCCUGCUGGACAUUAACUGACGCUGAGGCGCGAAAGCGUGGGGAGCAAACAGGAUUAGAUACCCGGGUAGUC
rnacentral:rRNA from 1 species